rnacentral:lncRNA from 1 species
GAUUGGACGCUUUAGAUUCCGAUUGCUCACACACCCCAAAAUCCCUCUUUUUUUUUUUUUUUUUAUAGCUUUCCUACUGUUCUAUUUUGAAACUUAAGAAUCAAUAACUUGAGCUCAUUGUCCUUAGCUUUUGUUUUAUUGAUUCACAAUACAGUUGUUGAAAUGUAAUAAACUAUUCAUAAGCUUAGAAACUCCAGUUUUUCUUAAAGCCUCUCCAAGGACAUGUAUAUGCCUUUCAAAAAAGACUACAUUACUUCCUUUGCAUCACUUUGACUUUGUGCUCGGGUGAAAUGCUGACUCACAGCCCAGAUAUGGCUCAAGCCAUUCUCCUCACAGAAAUCGCCUGAGACACUUGAGGAGAGUGGCACUGCAAGCGCGAGGGGGGUUGUUCCUUAGAUAUGACAGCAGAUAGGGAAGAAACAGGAAAAAGAGUAGGCUGGGACUAACUUCAGUUUAGCUUCCAGCAUACACACAUACUUUACCUUCAACGCUCUAGUGAGGACCGCACUGUAAGAAGCAAGACAAGUCAUUUCUGCAAGUCAUCCUAUUCGGCAGACUCAUCUCUGUCCUCUAACAUGAGACCUGUUGAAAUUAACCUUGAUAGAGGGUCUGCUUCUCUCCUUGCCAAUAAUUGCUUUAUUUACUAAACGAGGCACAAGCUGAAUUGCCCCUAACGUGGAUGCCCAGAGGCUCCCCUGGAGCUGGCAUUACAGGUGGUUGUGUCUGCUGUGGGUGCCAGGAAUCCAACUGAGGCCCACUUAAGUAAGCAGUGUGUGCUCUUAACCACCAAGCCAUCUCUCCACCACCCAGAAGUGUCUUUUAAUCUUUCAGUUUCGAAACUGGGAACCACUUGUAGCAAAUACUCUAUGUAAGGUGGAACAUGCAGUUUUGAUGUCUUGAACACAUUCCUAUAAAGUAAAAUGGGGGAACUGGAGAGGCUGGUCAGUGGUUCCGAGAAUGUUACUCUUAAAGGAGAGGCGUUCAGCUCUCAGCACCAACAUCAGGCAAUUGACAGCAUCCUGGUGCUCCAGCUCCAGGUCUGUACCCCGCGCACACACAUACGCAUAUGCGCAUGCUUUUUUUUUUUUUUUUUGAUCUUAAAAAAAGCAGCAUGAAUCACACCUUUAUCCUCCCUUCAUUGCUUCAUGUUAUAAAAGAAGGCAUGCUGUCACAGAGGCUGCCCAUCGGGGGAGGAGCCAUACAUCAGACCCUGUGUAGUAUCUUCCCUAAACAUGAGCAGCAGCAGCCCUGAGUUGGGGGUGGGACAAUAGGAUUGGCUCCCUAAAUUACAGCCCUACAUUCUACAUAGCACUGUCAUAUGUCUGCUAAACUCAGGGACCCUACUCUCUAACUAAGGUCAGAGACCUCUCCCCUCCUCUCUAAGGUCCAGAAAUGUCAGAAUUCCCUGUUCUGCUGGUCCCUGUUAGGUCUCUCAGCCCAGCCUCCCCCAUUGUGAAUGGCAGCUUUACUAAAGGUAUUUCCCCAGAGAGAAAAAAAAAAAGACAUACCAUUUAAGAAUAAUAUCUAUGCUAAUGAUCUUUUGGCUCUAUGGUGAAGGAAUAAACAUUAUUGAAUAUCAAUAUCAAAUACUACAGCACUCUAUGCCACUUGUGUUGGAGAAUAACAACCUCACUGCUGUUACAAGAGGAAAUGUCUGCCUUUCACUCUCAGUGACCAGCAUUGCAGAGGACCUCAUAGAUGAUUUACUUAUAUAACAAAAACACUUGCCAGAAUUGCAGUGUAUUUACGAAUCAGGCAAGCACUGGAGAUGGUUUAACUUGGUAGCCCAUUUGUUUUGUUUGGGUCAUGCACACCCACCUUCUUGUAAAGCCCGUAGCAGCCUAGUUUCUUCACCUGCACGUACUAUGCUCAUGCACCCCUCUCCAAACAACUCAUAGAGCCACCCCAGAAUGCCCUCGAACCGCCUCUUGAAUCAGGCUGCCAUACUCCCGUAUCUGGACAAUAACAUUAGUUUCUUCCACCCCUAGUAAAUUAAAUUUAGAUGGUUUCUAGCCCAUGUUAUCUUCAAAGGAUCAGAGUAGGAAGAAUAGGGUCUAACCUGAGCUAAUUGUGGGUGUAUAUCCAGUGAGACAAAACUGCUCUGUAGUAAGCUUUUAAAGAGAUUCCACUAUUUACCAACUUCUGCCUAUGCAUAAUUGGGCAUACAGAUGAUUAAAGUCCAAUGUAUUAUUGGAAGGGAUAGGAAUAGUAGGAAAAAUAAAUGUAUGACUUGUCUGUCAGAGUAAAAACCACCCAGAUUGAUCCCCCUAAUAGCUAAUUCCCCACUCUUGAACCCCAUAAAAAGAAUCCUCAAGCAAGUCCAACAUAUUAUUUACUUAUUUAUGAGAUUUUUUAAAAAUGUAUAUGGGUGUAUUGCCUGUAGUAUGUCUGUAUACCAUAUGUAUGCCUCAAGAAGUAGAAUUAUAGACAAUUAUUAGCUGGCUGUGAGCUACCAUGUGGGUGACUUGGGAACUCAAGUCCUCUAGAAGAGAGCCAGUGAGCCCCCUCUGCAGCCCUAAGACCUAUAGUUGUUUAGUUUACUGAAUAAGAGGAGUUUCUGAAGGGGAAGGGUUACUGGAAAGUUUACUUUUCAUUCUGAACAGGGACCUUGAUAGUGACUUUAAAUACAUGCUCAUUCUGAUGGCUCCUACCUUCUUGGCAAGCUGUCUCCAAAACUGUAUUUCUAGAACAUGUCUUUAUCUAAAGUACUACAGGGCUAGAAGUUGUUGUAACCUUUUAUCUUCAGGACAAAGUCUACACACUAGAGGUUGGAAUCAAGGCUUUGAAUACAGUCAGCCAACUGUAGUGAGUUCUGACCAAGAGUAAAUGUCUAACAUGAAAUCAUUCUCUUGUGAUAACAGUAUGGUUGUUAUUCUCCAAGACAAGUAGCAUAGAAUCCUGUAUUAUUUGAUAGUGAUAUUUGGUAACUUGUUCUUAUCUGUGGAGCCAACAGAUCAUUAGUUAUUUUUCAUAAGUCAGAACCUUAGGGAAUAAUUUUCAAAGAAAGAGCAAAGUCCAAGAGACCAAAAACUCUACAAGAAGCAGAAAAAUAGAAAGACAAGAAACGUUGUUGAGCAAAGGAGCUUUUCAGUACAUAAACAAGAGGCCAGCAAGAUGGCUCAGGGGGUAAAGGUACCUGCUAUUAAGCUUAAUGAUCUAAGUUCAAUUCCUGGGACCCAUAUUGCAGGAAAGAACAAACUGCCAGAAGUUGUCCUCUGACCUACACACACACACACACACACACAUACACAGUGUGACACAGUGUCACAAAUCAGUCAAUAAAUAAAAUAUGAAAAACAAUU